UUGCGGUUAAAAAGCUCGUAGUUGGAUCUCGGCAAGUAGAGGGCGGUAUGCUUCGUAGCAUUACUGCCCUAUUACUUGUAGUUUUGCCAGAGGUUCCUGGGUGCUCUUAAUCGAGUGUCUAGGGAUGCUGGCAGGUUUACUUUGAAAAAAUUAGAGUGCUCAAAGCAGGCUAUUACGCUUGAAUAUUCGUGCAUGGAAUAAUAGAAUAGGAAGUUGUUUCUAUUUUGUUGGUUUUCGGAAAUCGACUUAAUGAUUAAUAGGGACAGUCGGGGGCUUUUGUAUUCAAACGACAGAGGUGAAAUUCUUGGACCGUUUGAAGACAAACUACUGCGAAAGCAUUUGCCAAGAAUGUUUUCAUUAAUCAAGAACGAAAGUUAGAGGUUCGAAGGCGAUUAGAUACCGCCCUAGUUCUAACCAUAAACGAUGCCAGCUAGCGAUCUGAGGACGUUUUUUUUGUAGACUCCUCAGGAAGCUUCCGGGAAACCAAAGCGUGUGGGUUCCGGGGGAAGUAUGGUUGCAAAGCUGAAACUUAAAGGAAUUGACGGAAGGGCACCACCAGGAGUGGAGCCUGCGGCUUAACUUGACUCAACACGGGAAAUCUCACCAGGCCCGGACACUGGAAGGAUUGACAGAUUGAGAGCUCUUUCUCGAUUCGGUGGGUGGUGGUGCAUGCC
rnacentral:rRNA from 1 species